GGAAAUAAAAGUCGUAACAAGGUUUCCGUAGGUGAACCUGCGGAAGGAUCAUUAAUGAGUUGUCAUGGGGUUCGAUGCUGGCAGCCAGUUUUCGGAUACAUGUGCUUGCCCUAACAAUCAUCUUCUUCCAAACACCUGUGCACAUUUUUGAGGGAGUCUUGAGUUGGUUGCCGCUCUUGGGUGAUUUUCUCACAUUCCCUUAAAUCAUUAUACGCUAUUAACAAUGUUGAACGUGCUCUGUGCCGCAAGGCCAUUAAUAUAAUACAACUUUUAACAACGGAUCUCUUGGCUCUC
rnacentral:misc_RNA from 1 species